AGCCUGCAAUGUAGGAUGGCCAUGAACAAAAUCAAAAAGGUUAGAUAAAGAGCAGAUGUGAGCUGGUCAUAACAAAAGCCAGGGGCCAAAAUAUCGAAAUGAUUUUGAGAAACAAAAUUUCAGUGUUGUAAAACUAUCAUAAUGAGGUGAAGUUUUACUUCCAAAAACUAAACAAAAUAAAACUGCAACAGAAACUGGAUCCUCAAGAGGUGAUCAGGUUCAGUGAGCAGAGUGCCCUGCUGGAAGCAGAGGGUUGGCUCCAGCUUGCUUAUCUGCCGUAGGCUAUUCAGCAUAAUACCUCCAUGUACUCCAAAUGCCAACCUUGCCAUUCUCUGAAGAAUGGUGGUCAAUGUGGCAAGUAUAAGCACGGAACCAAGAUGACCUGAGGUGUGAGUAACAGAGAAGACACUUGAAUGGACAUGCAUGCAGUGGAACACAGACACUAUGUACAUGGACUGCAUGGGGCUUGAGCAAUGCCCAGGACUCUUCUGGAAGCACUGAAAAGUCAUGGCCAAAAGAAGAAAGUUAUGAGCAAGCCAAUGAUUGCAGCUGGGUUUUGCUCCACCUUGAUGUGGAGUCUGGGCUGAUCCACACAGAUAUUCUCCAUUAGCUGUAGGUGCUCUUCUGCCGCAGCUGGCACCCACCACCAUGUCUUCUUCUGAGACUCAGAGCCUGGAGGAAACUCAGAUGCUCCAGAGGGAACUCCAGGGAGGGCCUCCACCAAGGCUUCCUGAAGAGUCUUGUCUGGCACAUGUGACAUUUGCCUUCCGGUUCUCUAGUAAGAAGCCUUCAAAGCUUUCCCCAAUCCCACAACCACACAAGGCCUUAUCAUUCUCCAGAUCUCAAGUAUAAAACAUCUCCAAAUUAUGCAAACAAAAGGAAGUAAUGAAGCGAGUCACUUUUUUUUUCUUUUUUGGAUAUAUGGUCUCAUGUUGCCCAAGCGGCCCUCAAUCUGUAGCUGAGGACCUCGAAGAGCCUGAAUUUCUGAUCCUCCUGCACUCAUUUACUGAGUUCCAGCAUCACUGGUAUGCGAUGUUGAAAGUGAGUCACUGCCUGAGGUGUAUUUCCCAUCUCAUUAAAGCUCAGAUUAUGGAUGAUGUCAUAGCUUUCUGACGCAAAACAGGACUGAAGAUGAAGGACCCUUCAUAAUACUCCAGCAACAGAUUUUAAGUACAUUACCACUGACUUCAAAAUAUGAAAAAAAACUAUUUACUCUUCAUAUUUUUUUUCCAGUGGAAUUUUCUUGUUACUCUAAAACUACAUUGUGUGCCAGACAGGGUGACUGACACAUGUCUUAAUCCCAGGCUGAGACAAGAAGAGGAAUUCUAGGCUAGCCUGGACUACAAAGGGCCAUCCUUUCAAUAGGAACACAAUACCAUACACAAAAAUACAACCAAACAAAACCACUAGUAAAUGUACUAGCAAAGGCCCUUUGUAAUGAAGUCACUUUCCUAAGUAUAUCAAUGGAACCAGGCUUGAAGGUGCGUGAAGGAAGGCAGAGGGGCAGGGCACCGUUAUUACUAUUUUCACUUUUUUUUUUUUAAUAUUUCGGUGUUUUUGAUGCAGAGUGUCUCUGUGUGUAUCCCUGGAUGUUCUGUAACUUGCUCCGUAGACCAGGCUGGCCUUGAUCUCAAGAGAUCCUCCUGCCUCUGCCUCCUGAGUUCUGGGAAUAAAGGUAUGCACUAUCGACAUGAGGUUCAGGGCACCUUCAAACAUACUGUUGUCCUGUGACAAUCUAUGGAGGCCCAUGUCUAGCUCUGCAGCAGUGGGCCAAUAGAAGCAAGCACUAGAGUGAUGGUGUAAGAUCUACAGGGAGUGGGACCUGUGGGCCUCUCAAAGCCUUGAGCGAACCCUCUCUCCUGUUCUCUGAGCACACAGUGCUCUUUCUUGCCUGUUUCCUUCCUUUGUUCUCUGUCUGCCAGCCCCCACCCCCAUCUUUCAAAAGAGUAGGUCUGAUUGCUGAGUGUUAAGUCCAGCUUCAGUCUAUUUCUAUGGACAAUAACCAUAGGAUGUUGUUGAGGGACUGUUACAGCACUGGUUGCUCUUGCAGAGAACCCGAGUUUCAUUUCCAGUACCUACAGAGCAGCUUACAACUGUCUGUAAUUUUAGCUCCAGAAGUUCUGACACUUCCACACAGCUAUACAUGUAGGUAAAAAGCCAAUGCACAUUCAAAAAAGUUUAGAAAAAUCUUAAAAGAGAGAGAGAGAGAGAGAGAGAGAGAGAGAGAGAUAUCUUUGAUCUUUAGUUUUAUCUUCCCACCCUAUCUUAUCCCCAACUAGAAUUUAAGGCCCAUUAAGGGCCUUAUUUGGUCAGUGCCACAAUCCUACAGAGAAAACAAAACAAAACAAAACAAAAAAACAGCCAAAAACCCCUACUGGUAAAUAGAGGUGUUUACAUAAAAUUUGUUAAAUGAAAGGGACAUUUGAUAAUCUUUUCCUUUAGGGUUACUAAAGAAGUUAGGAACGAGCAGUUACCGCAGCUCUUACUGCUACUUGUGAUUUGUGGCACCGCUCAUGUUCUCCCAGAACAGCCAUCAUAAGUUUCUUGCCUCUUCCCUUUUACUUCCGUAAGAUCCCUGUAUCUCUUAGACACUGACUUCCAUGUGUGGCACUCCAGCUAGUAGUUCAUCCCUGUGGGUUUCCGUUUAGAAUGACUUAAAGCAGGGCUAUGUUUCUUUCUUCUGUCAUCCCAACUAUAGACAGCAAACAGUUAAAAAGUGCCUACUAAAUAUAUAGUCUUAAGCCUGUGUCCUUUAAGUCUGAAUAUUCAAUAAGUCAGAAAUUCAGUCUCACUUAUCUUUACAUUUCUGUAUUUUGCUUUCCUGGUUUAAAAAGUCAUGCUUAUUCUCUGUAGAAAGCUGAAGAAUGUGCGCAGAGAUUGUAGAGAUGCACAUUAAUUACAAGUUUUGUUUUCUUUGAGGUAGGGUCUCACUAUGUAGCUCUGGUUGGCCUGGAACUCAGAAAGAUCUGCUUGCUUCUGUCUCCAGAGUAUUAAACAUUAAAGAUAUGAACCAGCAUAUCAGAUCCUUUUUCAAAAAUGUGUAUCUGUACAUUUUUGGUAAUGAGGUCUCUUCUAUUAUGUGCUUGACUCUGGGGAUCAAAUCAAGCACUGGUCCUAGGGUUGGGGAUUUGAACCUAGAAUCUUGCAUGAAAGUGAAGUAUUCUACUAUUGAGCUAAACUUCUGAUCCCUAAACAAGUUUUCUUAGUCUGGUUUACCAUAGGAAAAUGACUGGAUAUAUCAGCAGAAGAGAUGGGGAAGAAUGUGAGCUGUCUGAAAUCAGGUGAGGGUGUAGGACUCUACCUUUAAGUAUCACAAAUCUUAUUUCUAGAACUUUCAAGUAAACAUAACAAUAAGAAGUAAGAUCAGGAAAUAAUUUGAGCUUUAGCUUUAUACUUUGAAAGACCUUUCCAAGUGUCUCAGAGGAUGAUUCCAAAUUUUCAGAAGAUUAUUAAAAUAAAUUACAUGGCCUUAACCCUUUAGGAAACAAGACAAAUUACAUGUUUAAAUUUAACAAAUGGAUGGCAAUCUCAAAAAAAGCCCAGGUAUGACUGCUACUGAGUAGAUGGGGCCAACUUUCAGCACACAGGGGUGAGGUGGGGUAUCAGUGUACAACAGUUGAAGUUUCUCUCUAUACUGUCCCCUGUUAUCUUUGACACUAUCCUCUUCUGCCGUGCCUUAUUACGGGGGUGGGGGUGGGGCAGUCUGAGGCCUCGCUUGUUCAUGCCUCCCUUGCAUGUUCAUUUUCUCAUUCUUCCAUCACUUACUGUGCCCAGGCACUGUCACAGGGGCUUAGUGAGUGAUGUAUGAGGACACACACCUCCUACCUAAAACCUUUACCACAGAGCUGACGCCGGAGGACCUAGCAUCAUUUGCUUUAUUAUGGCCUCAUGAGCAGCAGUAAAGGAUACAGAGCAGACAUCUCAGUGAGCAGUGGCUCUGCUAUUAGGCUGUGGAAGAUGUGUCUAUGAUGUCUGCAUGACACUGAAGUCACUUAAUGCUACACUCUUCAGAACGUAUUACCGCUGUGAAGCCAUGCAUGACUCUUCAGAAGACAUGACAGAGGGCAGUGGUCAGAUUACAUGUUCAGAAGCGACUUUAGGAGAUGGCAGCUUUGUGCUAGCCAGCACAGUGUAAGCAGAUGCAGUUCCAUGGAUUUUCAGAGUUGUCACAAUUUACUAUCAGCAAAAUAUAGGGGAGAUACAAACCUUAUAGGAAUAAACAACUUUGCAGGUGAGUGGAUAAUUUCUCAAGGUGCCAGAAGGGCUGGAGCUGCUGUCAUCAAAAACAUCCAUGUUGUCUUCAAACUCUUCUCCUUCUUCUCUUUCAGCAUCUGCAUUAAGCUAGGAAAAAUUAGAAGCCAUUGGCUACUUUGCUUAUUUCAUGAAAAUGGUAGAAAACAAACAAACAAAUUGAAAAUCAGAUUGUUUCAAAAUAUUAGUUUAUCUAUUCAACCUCACAUAUUAUAAAAGACCAGAGAAUUUUAAAAAUAAAAAGUAAAAUGUUUCAGAUGUAGUAUACAUGCCUUUAAUCCCAGCACACAGGAGGCAGAGGCGGUCUACAAAGUUUCAGACCAUUUACGGGCUACAUAGUGAGACUGCGUCUUUUUUUUUUUUUUUUUUUUUUGGUUUUUCAAGACAGGGUUUCUCUGUGUAGUCCUGGCUGUCCUGGAACUCACUCUGUAGACCAGGCUGGCCUUGAACUCAGAAAUCCGCCUGCCUCUGCUUCCCAAGUGCUGGGAUCAAAGGCAUGCGCCACCACGCCCAGCUGAGACUGCAUCUUUUUUUUUUUUUUUUUUUUUUUUAAAGAUUUAUUUAUUUUUAUUAUAUAGAAGUACAGUGUAGCUGUCUUCAGACACUCCAGAGGAGGGAGUCAGAUGUCAUUACGGAUGGUUGUGAACCACCAUGUGGUUGCUGGGAUUUGAACUCAGAACCUUCGGAAGAGCAGUCAGUGCUCUUAACCGCUAAGCCAUCUCUCCAGCCCGAGACUGCAUCUUUUAAAAAGAGUAAAACACCAGGCUGGGAGGCUGGUGGUUUUGAAAAAUUACUUGCCAUGCUAACCUUGAUGACUCAAAUUCCAUCAGCAGAUCCUGUGGUGGAAGGAGAAAGCCAACUCUCAAGGGCACACUACCAUGGUACACACACACACACACACACACACACACACACACACACACACCAAUAAAGUAAAACACUUCAGUGAUGCACACUUGUAAUUCAAGCAUUUGGGAAGUGGAGGUUACAAUUCAAGGCUGGCAGCCGGGCAGUGAUGGAGCACGCCUUUAUUUUUAUUUUAUUUAUUUUAUUUUUUUAUUUUAUUAGGUAUUUUCCUCAUUUACAUUUCCAAUGCUAUCCCAAAAGUCCCCCAUACCCUCCCCCGGACCCCCCAUCCACCCACUCCCACUUUUUGGCCCUCGCAUAUAAAGUUUGCAAGUCCAAUGGGCCUCUCUUUCCAGUGAUGGUCGACUAGGCCAUCUUUUGAUACAUAUGCAGCUAGAGUCAAGAGCUCCGGGGUACUGGUUAGUUCAUAAUGUUGUUCCACCUAUAGGGUUGCAGAUCCCUUUAGCUCCUUGGGUAUUUUCUCUAGCUCCUCCAUUGGGGGCCCUGUGAUCCGUCCAAUAGCUGACUGUGAGCAUCCACUUAUGUGUUUGCUAGGCCCGGCCCACACCUUUAAUUUCAGCACUUGGGAGGCAGAGGCAGGUGGAUUUCUGAGGCCAGCCUGGUCUACAGAGUGAGUUCCAGGACAGCCAAGGCUACACAGAGAAACCCUGUCUCGAAAAACAAAAACAAAAAAUUCAAGGCUGGCUUUAGCCAGGUAGUGGAUUCUGGGCUAAUGAGACCAUGUCAUAAAUAAAACUCAGAUAUACAAGAAGUAAAUUAUCAUUAUCCUUUAACUUUUUGCUGUUAAAUGUUGGCAAACAAAGGCCUCUUAACAUUUUUAAAUGCUAACAUGAGGGAACAUCGAAGACUGCUGUAUGUUACAAAGAAUGUGGAGAAACAGUCUGGUAACUAUGACAAGUAGAAAUGCUUUACACAUUGUUUUUAGAAAAUAUACUGCCCAACACAGAGCUUAAAUCAUGACCAGUAGUAGAAUUAAAUAAGAUAAAGUGCUCUGUUACUGAAAGACAUUACCAGAACCACAAUGAAGGAGCUAGAGAUGCAGCCCAGUUUAUAAGAGUACUUGGCUAGUAUGCAUUCAGACCUGGGUUCCAUCCUCUGCCUCCCCCAAACCAAGUGGUGCAUGGCUCCAAUUUCAGCACUCAGGAAACAGAAGCAAGAAGACCAGAAAUGUAAGGUCAUCUUUGGCCACAAAGCUGAAGCUAGCAUGAGCUAUAAGAGAUCCAUUCACCCCUACAAUGAAGCCAGGUAUGAUGGAGCAUGUCUGUAAUACCAGCACUCAGGAGGCUGAGUCAGGAGAACUGCUUUAAGUGUGAUUUCAGUCUAGGCUACAGGGUGACACUUGGUAGCACAUGGCUAUAUAGUUGAGUUCAGGCCAGUCUGGGCUACAUGAACCCCUGUAACAAUCAAUCAAUCAAUCAAAACACAACCCCCAAAACAAACAUAACAAGAAAUAAUCAACAAAAUCCACCCCAAUGAGACACUACUCCAUUUUCAUUAGUGUCUUUAUCAUAAGGAAAACAGAGCAUGUAUUGCUAAGAAUGUAGCAAAGCUGGAACCUUAUACACCAGUAGUGGGACUGUAAAUAGCACAUCUGCUGUGAAAAAUGGUAAGUUUCCUUAAUAAAUUAAAAAUAGGAGUAUACAAAAAUUUCCUGGGUAUACACCUAAAGAAAUGAAAACAAAGACUAAAACAGAUGUUUGCAAAUUCAUGUUCACAGCAGCAAUAUUACAACAGCCUAAGUUCCACUACUAAAGGGAUAGGUAAAUAAGACAGUAUACACAGAUAAUGGAUAUUACUCAGUCUUAAAAAGGAAGGAAUGCUGCCUGACACAUGCUACCAAAUGGAUGUACUUUAAAGACAUUGUGCUAAAUAAGUAAGCCAUCACAAAAAGAUAAACCAACUCCAUUUCUAGGAAGCGUGAAGAGCAGUCAAAGUCCUAGCAGCACAGCCUUUAUUGGGACUGAAGGUGGCUCAUGGGAGUUACUGUUUACUGGGUACAGAGGUUUAGUUUUCAUUCAGUUGUUUGAGACAGAGUAUCACUAUAUAUACUAGCCUGGCCAGAAAUGUAUGCAUUUCAGGCUGGUCUCAACUUAGAAUUCUUUGCUUCUUUCUUUUGAGUACAUAGAUUAUUCGUAAGGCCACCAUGACCAGUGAAAUUUUUCAUUUUUUAAAAAGAUGUAUUUUAUUUUUAAUUGUGUAUGUGCAGAGAGGCCAGAGGUAUUGAGUUCCAGGUGGAUGCUAGCCUCCUGUUGUAGUGCUGGGAAAUGGGUUCUCUGCAAAAGCAGGACAAACAUUUUUUUUUUUUUUGGAGGGUGUGAUAGUUUAUUUAAAAAACAGAAACAACAAAAUAAAACAACAACAGUAACAAAUAAAACGGUGCCACACUGAUCGUGUGACCAGAAUACGUACGUAAUGGCUUUUCUCUUGGGUAUUAACAUUUCAGUAUGCUUAGAUACUGAAAUGCUUCAAUAGGACCAAGAACGUUAGAGAGUAAGGAUGGACAAACAUUCUUAAUUACUGAGCUAUCUCUCUGGUCCCUUAAACAUAUUUUAUAUAUUCAGAAGACCUUUCUUUCAUACUCUAGGGAAAGUUAGACAUUUCACUGUAUUACACAAAACACUCAGAUAUUUAUAAAAAUGGGUAGAACAAGUUUCCAAAAAUAUAUAUGGAAUGCUAACAUGUGCUGUGCUUUGGUACUGGGAAUCAGUCCAGAGAACUUUCUCUUGCCAGCAUGGACUGAUACUAAACAUUCCUUUACCUUCUGUUUUUAGUUCAUGUCUGAUUCUCACGGAAAGGACUAGAAGGCUUUAGUGACAACAGGGAUGUCAGAUGCUUUGUGUGGUUCUAGAGGAUUUUUAAAGUAUCUUAGACUAAUCUCUUCCUUUUCCCUCUUCAUUGUUCUCAUGGUUUCUUGACCCAGCCUAUCUAAAAUCCCACUCUUCCUUACUCUCUUAUCUAAGGACUACACUCUCAACCCUUCUUUCUUCAAUCAAAACAAUUCUUCUUAGCCAUACUUACAUUUUUCCUUUCUUAAAUGUUGUAAAAAGCUUACUCUUCCUGCAAAGGCAGUAAGAAGAACCCUGUGUGAGUUUCUGUAGCGGCUGUCUUCUGCUACGAGCUCUGGGGUUCUCCCAGACAGGAAGCAGUGACUGACUGGCUGGAGGUGAAUACUGACUGUAUCACUUACUUGCUGUGUGUGACCCUGGGCAAGUCAUCUGGUUCCUAAACUUUAGUGAUCUCAACUCUCUUUUGAAGACAACUAUUUUUCUAAUGAAGACAAGUACUUUUUCACAGGGCUAUCAGAAGGAUUAAAGGAGGUAAUGCAUCUUAAACCCCAUACACUUGGCAAAUGGGAGGUACUCAGUCCAUCAUUAUCUUUUGCUGGUUUUAUGAGGCACAGAGAGUCAGAUGAAGAAUUUGUUGACACCCAACACAGAGGAAAGCAGCUACUUGCAGAAAACUGAUUAGCAGAACCUCUGAACUCUACUUGCAGAGCACAGGACCUUACUCCAAGCACUAAGUAGAUAAUAUAUAAACUUCUGUUCAAAGCAAGAUGGAAUACUAAGGACCAGAUUUGAAUUUCAUGCCAGAAACAAUUUUAAAAAAUUUGUUGUGGGCCUGUAAAAUGGAUCUGUGGGUAAAGGUACUUGCCACCUCCUGCAAGCUGUCCUUUGACCUCUAUUUGAUUAAUUUAGUAUGCCCUACCACCAAUAAAUAAAUGUAAUAACAUAAAAUAUGGUCAAAAAUUUAAAAGUUUUCAAGACAUAGGCCAUUAAGCAAUGAAAGACAGUAGUGUCUGGGGAAUGGAAAAGUCUGCACAACUUAUGCUCAGAAGAAGUUUCCAAGCUGAGGACAGUGUGCCCUCUGAAUUGAGUGGAACAUGGAGAUCAUGCAGGCCAAGGUGGCUAGGGUUUAUAGCACAGUAACAAGGAGAGCAGAAAGAGAUCCUGAGAAAUCUGCAGAGCCUCAAGUCUUCAGCUGAGUAGUGUAUGUGCAUGAACAGAGUAGCUGAAGCCAGAAAUAGAACCAUCUAGAAGGACAAGAGAAACGUAUCUCUAGAACUCACACAGGUUUGGGACACGACUUGUAUUCCCUAAGGCAUAGCGCAUCACAGAGCAGUAAGAAUAUGGAAGACAUAGGCAGUGCCAUCAGCCAACAAGAUGUAACUGCAUUUGUAGAACACAGCAUUCAAGAGCAGCAGAAUGCACACUCUUUAUAUAUCACACACUGGGUCACAAAAGAAGUCUCAGUAAAUUUCAAAGAACUGAAGUAUGUUACUGAUCUACAACAUAAGUGAAUUAGAAAUCUAAAGUGGAAAUAUAUCUAGAAAGCUUCUACAAAUUUUCAACAUUCAAAAAUUCAAGGGCUGAAAAACCAGUCAGAAAGCAUCUUGAACUGAAUGAUGACACAGUAGCAAAACUGUGCAAAGAGCCUACAGAUGUAUGUAGCAGGAAUGUUUACCAAAUGCCUCCACCAGAAAAGGGAAAAUGUCUAAAAUCAACAUCCCUAGCUUCUACCUGAAGAAAAAAAAAAUCAUAAAAGAGCCAAUUAAAUCCAAAUUAAGCAGGAGAAAGGAAAUAAUUAAAAUCUAAGCAGAAAUUAAUAAAACAGGAAAACAAUAACAACAAAAAAGCAAUGAAACCAAAAGUUUGCUAACUGUAGAAAGCCAUCUAUUUGAUGAACUUCCAUUAGAACAGAAUGAUGGGGGUGGGGAGAAGAGGACACAAAACAUACAGGAAUAAGAGGGGUGACUGAUAUCACUAAAGACACUCUACAUAUUCAAAGAAUAGCCAAGAAUAUUAUAAGCAACUUUAUGCCAGUAACUUUGGUAAGUUGGAUAGAACAAAGAAUUUUUUUUACAACAAACUCCAAAUAAAAUGAUCAAAGUCUAUUUAAAGGAGAACAGCCUUGGUGUUGAUUAUCCGCAAACCUGGCAGAGGAAGGAAGAACAGUCAGGGCCAGCCUGGUUUACAAAGUGAGUUCUAGGCCAGCAAGGGCUAUAAAUGGAGAUCCUGUCUCAGAAAGUCAGCCUUUUCCCAGCACUUUUUACACUUUUAAUUUUGAGACAGGGUUUCAAUAAAUUGUCCAGGCUGGCCUUGAGCUCAUUGGCUAUUACAGAUCUUAACUUGUGAUCUUCCUGCCUCAGCCCUGCAAGGAGCUAAAUUACAGACCUGUGUCACCAGGAUUAGUUUCUUGAAACAUUAACUAUAUAUCCACUAUACAGCAUAUUCAAAAGCAUAUGUUAGUAGUACAUGCCCUAUACAAAUUCAAGACUUACAAAAUUACAGUAAUAGUCCAGAACAACCCAAAUGCCCACCAACGAGUAGAAGGAUAGCAAACAUCUACAGCUAUACAACACACUAUUGUUCAGCAAUGAAAAUGGUCAGCAUACAACAACACUUGUGAUCCUCAAAAUCAUUACAAAAUCAUUUUUUUUUUUUUGUUUUUUGGUUUUUCGAGACAGGGUUUCUCUGUGUAGCCCUGGCUGUCCUGGAACUCACUUUGUAGACCAGGCUGGCCUCGAACUCAGAAAUCGGCCUGCCUCUGCCUUCCAAGUGCUGGGAUUAAAGGUGUGUGCCACCAUGCCUGGCUUACACUGAGUUUUCAAAGGUCCACACAAAAGAGUUCAUAUGGUUCUCUUUAUCUAAAUUCCAGAAAACACAGUAACCUAAAGUGCAGAAAAUAGAUCAGUGGUUAACUGAGGAAGGAAAAUGAGCAUGAUUAUGAAAGAGAAUGAGGAAAGUUUGUGAGAGUAAUAAACAUAGCAUUUUAGGAUAUUUAGUAUACACAUAAACUAUUAUUGUAACUGCAAUGCUUUCACUGGUGUACACAUGUCAAACAUCAGAAAGUGAUGUUUUUAACCUUUAAUAAAGCUGCUGAAAUAUCAAAAGUUUGGGAAUUUGAAUGUUAACUAGUCACAUAGUACCCAAAGAUUUAACACAACCAGUAAUAGGACUGAAAAUAAAACAUCCAAUGAUGAUUGGGAAAAAAACCCCAAACUACACAGUAAAUAAGAUGACCAAGAUUAGAAGAACACAGAGAAACCCCACAGAGCAAGGGCUUGUGGUCUGAGGGCUGCAGAGGCAGACACCUCUGGAUUCAAAUGUCAUCUCUCCUCACUCACUCACAGCUGUAAGGAGAUACUUAGUUUCCCAAGUUCCAUCAGCUCAUCAGAAAACACAUUCACAGUAACUAUGCUUAUUAACGAGUUCUCAUGCAGAUAAUGUACUAAUAUACCUGACAUUAACACUUGAGCCCUACUCUUUUCUUUUAGGAACAAUUUAAGCUUAGCUGAUAAAACUAGAUGCUUAUCUCGAAAGUGAGAUGAGUAUUCUUUGACAUGUUUUAGGAAUGUUAGCAUUAUCACUAUUUUACUUAUUUUUGAGACAGGGUCUCAUGUAGCCCAGGUUGGUCCCAAAUUUACUAUGUAGCUGAGAAUGACCUAGAACUUCUGAUUUUCUUGACUCUAUUUCCCAAGUAUUGGGAUUACAGGGCUUAUGCUACCACAUCUGGUUUAGGUGAUAUUGGGGACUGAACUCAGGAGUUCAUGAAUGUUAAGCCAAGGCUCUAACAACACAACUACAUUUUCAGCACACUUUUAAAAAGAAGAAACUAAUGUUUGUAUUCCACAGAAAUCAAAGUGGAUAAAACAUUAAGUUUUAGCUAGGCGGUGGUGGAGCAUGCUUUUAAUCCCAGCAGCAGAAGGAUCUCUGUGAGUUUGAGGCCAGCCUGGUCUAGAGCAUAGAGCUUAGAUCAAUGAAAAAGCCUGCUGACCAUUUGAAAGUACUAUAAAUAUAAAAGCAAUUGAAGAUUUUUUUUUUUUGGCAAGGAUAGUCUUUUAACAGUUUCUAUUUGUUUCAUUAUAGAAAUUAACUCUUUCUUUUAAUUGAGAUUAGCUUAAGCCCAUAAGCAGGUUCUCAUAAUUUAAACACAAAUUCCACUGGACUGCAAGGACUAUCAGGACCAUUAGGCAUAUUGAGGGGUCAAGGUUAGGCACAUUCAUCUCCUUGCCUUUCAGCCACAUUAUUCAGCACAGUCUUCAGGAUGACUGGCUCAGGAUUUAUUUCUAUGUAAUUCUGCAAAUGUCAGAUCCCUAGGGAGUCUGCACAACAAAGCAGACUGUCAGACUGCCUUAGUGCAACUGUUGAGGGAAGUCAUGAAGAUAGUGCCAGUUAUGAUCAGAAACUCUAAGUAAAAAGGAGACAAGAAAGAAUAAAAAUAAACCCAAUCUCAGACAAAGGUCUACAGAUUCUGUUUGCUCCCACUCUGGGAAUCAGGCCUAAAA